rnacentral:rRNA from 1 species
GUGCAUCGUUAGUCAUGUUCCUUGUUCUCUCUUGAGAGGACAAGGAGGCAGGCUUCAAAUUAAUCUAUCUUUAACCAGUUUGUCUGAAGCAAUGUAUCAUGAGUUAACAUAAUUCUAAAAUACAACUUUCAACAACGGAUCUCUUGGCUCUCGCAUCGAUGAAGAACGCAGCGAAAUGCGAUACGUAAUGUGAAUUGCAGAAUUCAGUGAAUCAUCGAAUCUUUGAACGCACAUUGCGCUCUCUGGUAUUCCGGAGAGCAUGCUUGUUUGAGUAUCAGUAAAACACCCUCAGCCUUUUCUUUAUUGAAAAAGCUGGACUUGAGCGAUCCCAACGGUUUUUUUUUAAAAGGCCGGCGGGUUGCUUGAAAUGCAGGUGCGGCUGGACACAUCUUCUGAGCUAUAAGCAUUACCUAUUUAGUCCCGUCAAACGGAUUAUUUCUAUUGCUACAGCUAAUAUAAAGGUCGAUUGUCCUUGUGCCCGACUGAUGCAGGAAAACA